rnacentral:lncRNA from 1 species
AUGGCGCAGCGAGCCGCAGCCCCCCAAACCUCAUCCCCGGGGGCUCCCUCCCUGCUUCGUCCCAUCCCGGCACGUCCCAGGGUGGCGUUAGCAGGGCUCGGAGCUGCCGUGGUGCUGCUGUGCGUGGUGCUGGGCCCCGAGCCCAGCGAGGCUCAGCCCUUCCCUUUCCGAGACCCAACGCUGCCCUGGCACCGCCGCCUCGAGGAUCUGCUGGGCCGGCUGAGCCCCGCUGAGAUGGUGCUGCAGGUAGCCAGGGGGGGAGCUCUGGGGAACGGCCCCGCGCCCCCCAUCCCGCGCCUGGGCAUCGCGCCCUACAACUGGAACACCGAGUGCCUGCGGGGCGACGCGGAGGCGCCCGGGUGGGCCACGGCUUUCCCCCAAGCCCUGGGGCUGGCCGCUGCUUUCAGCCCCGAGCUCGUGUACCGGGUGGCCAACGCCACGGCCACCGAGGUGCGCGCCAAGCACAACCACUUCGCUGCCACCGGCCGCUACGACGACCACACGGGGCUCAGCUGCUUCAGCCCCGUGCUCAACAUCAUGAGGCACCCGCUGUGGGGCAGGAACCAGGAAACCUACGGGGAGGACCCGUUCCUGAGCGGGGAGCUGGCGGUGAGCUUCGUGCAGGGGCUGCAGGGUCGGCACCCGCGCUACAUCAAGGCCAGCGCCGGCUGCAAGCACUUCAGCGUGCACGGGGGCCCCGAGAACAUCCCUGUCUCCAGGCUCAGCUUCGAUGCCAAGGUGCUGGAGCGGGACUGGCGCACCACCUUCCUGCCCCAGUUCCAGGCGUGCGUGCGCGCCGGGUCCUACAGCUUCAUGUGCAGCUACAACAGGAUCAACGGCGUUCCCGCCUGCGCCAACAAGAAGCUGCUGACGGACAUCCUGCGGGGCGAGUGGGGCUUCGAGGGCUACGUGGUGAGCGACGAGGGGGCCGUGGAGCUCAUCAUGCUGGGGCACCACUACACCCGCACCUUCCUGGAGACGGCCAUCGCGUCGGUGAACGCCGGCUGCAACCUGGAGCUGUCUUACGGGAUGAGGAACAACGUCUUCAUGCACAUCCCCCAGGCCCUGGCCGCGGGCAACAUCACGCUGGAGACGCUGCGCGCCAGGGUGCGGCCCCUCUUCUACACGCGGCUGCGGCUGGGGGAGUUUGACCCCCCAGCCAUGAACCCUUACAGCUCCCUGGACCUCAGCGUGGUGCAGAGCCCCGAGCACCGCAACCUUUCUCUGGAAGCUGCUGUCAAGAGCUUUGUGCUGCUGAAGAACCAGCGGGGCACCCUGCCCCUGCGCGCCCGCGACCUCCCCGGCAAGCGCCUGGCGGAGGGGGCUGCAGAUGCUGCCGGCCAACGUCAGCUUUGCAGCGGGGUGCCAGCAGCCGCGGUGCCAGCGGUACUCACGGGCAGAGGUGGAGGAGGUGGUGCGGGGAGCCGACGUGGUGCUGGUGUGCCUGGGGACAGGGAUAGACGUGGAGACGGAGGCGAAGGACCGGAGGGAUUUGGAGCUGCCAGGCCACCAGCUGGAGCUGCUGCAGGACGCCGUGCGGGCAGCCGCCGGGCGCCCCCUCAUCCUGCUGCUCUUCAACGCGGGGCCCCUGAACGUGAGCUGGGCGCAGGGGCACGAUGGUGUGGGGGCCAUCCUGGCCUGCUUCUUCCCCGCCCAGGCCACCGGGCUGGCCAUCACCAAGGUCCUGCUGGGCGAGCAGGGGGCCAACCCCGCCGGCAGGCUGCCGGCCACGUGGCCAGCGGGCAUGCACCAGGUGCCCCCCAUGGAGAAUUACACCAUGGAGGGGCGGACGUACCGCUACUACGGGCAGGAGGCCCCGCUCUACCCCUUUGGGUACGGGCUGUCCUACACCACCUUCCAGUACCGGGACCUGGUGCUGAGCCCCCUGCUGCUGCCCGUCUGCGCCAACCUCUCCGUGUCCGUGGUGCUGGAGAACACGGGGCAGCGGGACGGCGAGGAGGUGGUGCAGCUCUACCUGCGCUGGGAGCAGCCCUCGGUGCCGGUGCCCCGCUGGCAGCUGGUGGCUUUCCGCCGCGUGGCCGUGCCGGCUGGCCGGGCGACCAAGCUGUCCUUCGAGGUGCUGGCUGCCCAGCGUGCUGUAUGGACGCAGCACUGGCAGCUGGAACCCGGCACCUUCACCCUUUUUGCCGGCGGGCAGCAGCCGGGCCAGCGGACGCGGGCACCCUCGGAGGUGCUGAGCGCACGGUUCAGCGCCAGCGGGGCCGCGCGGCCGCUGAGCGAGUGUUAGGGGUGGGAAGGGGCACGGGGAUGGGUCCCGGGCAUGGGGAUGGGGUCUGGGCACGGAGAGGGAUGGGGUCUGGGCAUUGGGAUGGGUUCUGGGCUUUGGGAUGGGGUCUGGGCACGGGGAGCAGGGGGAAGGAGGAGGCUGCUUGGACACCGGGAGCGCAGCGCGCUUACAAUAAAGUGCCCAGCACCACUCCAGGAGGCUGUGUCGGCUCAGGAUGGCUCGCUGCCCGGUGCUGCAUGGUGCUGCCACCCCCAAAAUCACCCUCCCCAAAGUUCAGAGCCCCCCCUGACUGCCCCGAGCUGCUGUGGGGUCAGAGCCACCACAGGGCUUGGCCGUUCCCACCGCUGCCUCUCCGUCCCCGCCGUGCUGCCCGCAUCCUGCUGAGUGCUCCUGGGGACGGAUCCAGCCCUGCCCCCCCGAGUUGGGGGGAGAAAUUCCCCCCCCCUGCUCCCCCCCUGGGCGCAGGGAAUGUGCUGGAGCUCACCCAGGCGGCUCCGGGCAGCUAUAAAUAA